AGGGGAUGAGUCCAAUGAUAAAGAGAAGGACUUGAUGGAUUAUCUACAACACAAUUAUUCCAGUCUCCUGGCUUUGAUUCUGGCUGUUCUGAUGGGGUUUUUCAUGGCAGUUGCUCUUGGUUUGGUUGUUGUUUUUAGUUCCUGUUGUGAAGCAAAGGAAAAGCUGCACAGUGACAGCCUGAAGACUGAAGACUCUUCUGAUCUGAACUCUGCAUCUCUGAAGCUUUCAAUAUCCAGAAAAAGAAGACGACCUGCAGAAAGCAGAGAGUUGGAGACCUGUGUGAUGUAUUCUGUCAGAAUUGUGUGAAUUGUGUAAUAAAGCUCAGGUUUUUUUUUUUUUUUCAACUGCUGUCAGUCUGCAUCUCUCAGGAUCAAAGAAAUGUUUGAUAGAGGGACUCACAGGGCUGUGUGGUUUGAAUAAUCACGAUAAAGAUCUUAAGUUUUGCUUGAGAAUGGCGAGAAUGGACAGGAAGAGACAGCGUGGUUCAGGCUGAGCUCAGUUCACAUCAUUCACAUUCAACAAAGAAUCUGAAAAAGAACCGUUAAACCAACCAUCAUUCUCUCAGUAUCAACUGGCGAAUUAGCUUUUAAUUUAUGUGGAAGCUAAAACUGUCUAAAUAUGACUAAAAAUGCGAUUCUUCAGUUUGAACAACUUUAUUAGUAGCAUCCUCAUAAAGUUAGACAGCCGGUUGAUGGAUAUCAUACACUAUUUAUUACUAUGGUGUGGGAACAAAUGUUCCAAAAAAAAAAAAAAGCCAUAUUUGAAGUGAAGAUUCCAAGACUUUAUAUAGGGUUCCAUCUCACAACACCCACAAAAGCAAAAUUUUAGAAAAUCGGAAUACUAGGGAGAAAUCAUCAUUUAUUUCUCAGUUUUUGCAAAAAAAAAAUAAAGGUAAAAAUUUACGGUCUGUUUAUUAGCGCUUUAUUUUGUACAGAUGAUAAAGCAAAUGUUUAUAAAAAAAAAAAAAAAAAAACAGUCUAAGUUCUUAAAUUUUCCCACUGUCACUGUCUUUUAUUCUCUUCUCUUUCUCAGCUGCUUCAUCCCAAGCUUCAAAUUUUAAAAGAAAAAAGAAAACUAUAAAUCCACUUAUGUCUUUUCUAGUGCUUUGCUGUUGUAACAAACUCUGUAAUAAAAUCUGAUUCACAUGUAUCUUGAUGUUAAUGGGAAAUAUGAGGUCAAUUCUUUUUGGUUUGCACAGAAAAGUGUUUCUACUGUUUUUUUGUUGUGGUAAAUUGAGCAUUCUGGACUUUAUGUUUUUUUUGCUUGUUUUUCUUAAUUGUUUGAGAUUGGAAGUGUUCCCCUUGGUGGUGUAAAAAUAAAGGUUGGAUGUCUGUUAUAAUAAAAGAAGCCUCAUAAAUCCACUUUUUUAGUUAUAUCUUGAUAUUUUUAAUAUUACACCACAGUGUUACAAAUUUUGAUGAAAAUACCUCAAAAUAAGUAUUUUAUGAGUAAUUAUUUCGUUAAAAAUAUUUUCGAUUAAAAAAUAUAAAAUUAAUAAGUCACAGGUCAGGAUUCAGACUUAUGAUUUAGACUUCUUUAUUAUUGUCACUUCGACAAUGACAACAAUAAAAGACAGAUUUUUUUAGCUUUAACGCUUUAACACAGAAGCUCCAGUAUUUUUGUUCUUUGAUUUACUGUAAGAUUUUAACUGAUAACACAAUAAUUCCAGCAGAAUCUGAAGGAGAAAACCAGCUCACACCACUUUUCUCCUUCUGGAAUCACGUUGAUUGUGUCAACGGUAGAAAAGUUACAGUAUUUUAAAGAUUUUGUGUUUAAGCGUCCCCGGUGACGCCUCAGGUGUUAAAGGGUUAAUUAUAUAUAAAUGUAGAUCAUUGAUAGACAUAAUAUUGAAACCAACCUUUAUGUCGCAGCACUGAUGCCAUAAGCAAGAGUAAGUCUAGUUUAUGAACAACAGUGCAAUAGAAUAAUGCAAUUACACCACAUUUAUGCCAGCAGAGAAAAAAACAAGCAAAAAAAAAAAAAAAAAAAUCAGUAUUUUUGCAUUUUUUUUCUUUCUUAAAUGUCAGUUUGCUUACUUUUCAUCCAUUUUUUUACCCGCUAUAUCCCUUUUGGGGUCAUAGGGCUAGCAGAACCUGUGUCAGCUACUGUUGGGCAAAGGCAGUGUAGACCUGGACAGGUCCAGGGCUGGGGUGGGGGAAUUCGUCCCGGCUGGUCUGCGGGAGGAUGGCUGGUGACACCUACUCCGUCGUUUUUGUUACUUUUUUUCCUUAUUCACUUGUUAUUGUCUCUUUUAGGACAAAUACGGACUUUAUAACACCUAAAAGGUGUCAUGCCUAUUGCUCUUUUUUGGGCUAUUUUCCACCGUUUCCAGGUCUAAAGGGAUUCAGCGCACCAUCUUGUGGGGUCCAGAUGACCCCAUUUUUAAUGUAAACAUGCCUUGGACAGCACAAGGGUCACACCAAGCCUCCAGCCAGGACCAUGCAGAGAGGCCGAUCAAGAGAAUCCACACCCCAGGCAGCCGUCUAGACCAGAGUCUGGAGCCCCUGGUGGCAAAGAGGAUGUGAGUAUGGACAGUGCAAGCUCUAUAGCCGCCUGGUUGACCUGGGAUCUAGCACGAAACAAUGUAUUAAUAUCUAAAAUUGGUUUGAUGAAUCCAUGUUUUGUCAUUUUUUUAUUGUCAUAUUCAAUUAUUUUUAAUUCUUAAAUUAAAUCGAUAAAAUCAAAUCAAUACACCAGCUGAGCCACAUC